rnacentral:rRNA from 1 species
GGCGGACGGGUGAGUAACACGUGGGUAACCUGCCUGUAAGACUGGGAUAACUCCGGGAAACCGGAGCUAAUACCGGAUAGUUCCUUGAACCGCAUGGUUCGAGGAUGAAAGACGGUUUCGGCUGUCACUUACAGAUGGACCCGCGGCGCAUUAGCUAGUUGGUGGGGUAAUGGUUCACCAAGGCGACGAUGCGUAGCCGACCUGAGAGGGUGAUCGGCCACACUGGGACUGAGACACGGCCCAGACUCCUACGGGAGGCAGCAGUAGGGAAUCUUCCGCAAUGGACGAAAGUCUGACGGAGCAACGCCGCGUGAGUGAUGAAGGUUUUCGGAUCGUAAAGCUCUGUUGUUAGGGAAGAACAAGUGCGAGAGUAACUGCUCGCACCUUGACGGUACCUAACCAGAAAGCCACGGCUAACUACGUGCCAGCAGCCGCGGUAAUACGUAGGUGGCAAGCGUUGUCCGGAAUUAUUGGGCGUAAAGGGCUCGCAGGCGGUUUCUUAAGUCUGAUGUGAAAGCCCCCGGCUCAACCGGGGAGGGUCAUUGGAAACUGGGAAACUUGAGUGCAGAAGAGGAGAGUGGAAUUCCACGUGUAGCGGUGAAAUGCGUAGAGAUGUGGAGGAACACCAGUGGCGAAGGCGACUCUCUGGUCUGUAACUGACGCUGAGGAGCGAAAGCGUGGGGAGCGAACAGGAUUAGAUACCCUGGUAGUCCACGCCGUAAACGAUGAGUGCUAAGUGUUAGGGGGUUUCCGCCCCUUAGUGCUGCAGCUAACGCAUUAAGCACUCCGCCUGGGGAGUACGGUCGCAAGACUGAAACUCAAAGGAAUUGACGGGGGCCCGCACAAGCGGUGGAGCAUGUGGUUUAAUUCGAAGCAACGCGAAGAACCUUACCAGGUCUUGACAUCCUCUGACAACCCUAGAGAUAGGGCUUUCCCUUCGGGGACAGAGUGACAGGUGGUGCAUGGUUGUCGUCAGCUCGUGUCGUGAGAUGUUGGGUUAAGUCCCGCAACGAGCGCAACCCUUGAUCUUAGUUGCCAGCAUUCAGUUGGGCACUCUAAGGUGACUGCCGGUGACAAACCGGAGGAAGGUGGGGAUGACGUCAAAUCAUCAUGCCCCUUAUGACCUGGGGCUACACACGUGCUACAAUGGACAGAACAAAGGGCUGCAAGACCGCAAGGUUUAGCCAAUCCCAUAAAUCUGUUCUCAGUUCGGAUCGCAGUCUGCAACUCGACUGCGUGAAGCUGGAAUCGCUAGUAAUCG